rnacentral:rRNA from 1 species
UACGUAGGUAGCGAGCGUUGUUCGGAGUUACUGGGCGUAAAGAGUGCGUAGGCGGUUUUCUAAGUUUGGUGUGAAAUCUCCCGGCUCAACUGGGAGGGUGCGCCGAAGACUGGAAGGCUUGAGUAUGGGAGAGGUAAGCGGAAUUCCUGGUGUAGCGGUGAAGUGCGUAGAUAUCAGGAGGAACACCAAUUGCGAAGGCAGCUCGCUGGGACGUUACUGACGCUGAGACGCGAAAGCGUGGGGAGCAAACAGG